GUACUCCAAUAUCAUCUCUUACCAAUUGGGAUAGAACCAGAGAACACACUUACAGGAUUUCAUGUAGCUGAGAUAGUGAUAUCAGAUUGACAAGAUUCUAUAACCUUUAUAUGGUCCAGCACCGUAAAUUUAAGAAAGAAUCCCCUGGCAAUAGUGAAUGUCUGAGAGCUCUUAGGUAAUAGAUUAGGAACAUCCAAUUUAAACUUUUUCCAAGGCUGCUGCUGCUGUCUUUUCUCUAUAAUUUCCUCUAUCACAAGUUCUGUAGACUUAAACAUUUCUCUGAUCCAGUGGAAUUGAGAUAAUCACCAUUUGCAUCCUCAAAGUUAUAUCAGGAAGGUGGUUCUUUUUCUUACUUUUUUUUCCUUCUAAAAACAGCUUGUCAGAUUUGUAUCAAUAAGACUUCAUCUUUUAGCCAUGCAACAUCCCCUCCAAUUUGCUACCCCAUUAUCCAUUAAAAGCUUCCAAACAUGAAGAAAGGUCAACGCUGGUGAUCAAAGUUCGAAAAGAGAACUGCAGAUAAUAGGAUCAUAGUAGAGAAUAUACAGUCAAAUGCCAAUCUGAUGGAGGAAAGGCGAAUGGUUCACCAGCCUACAAGUAGCAGAAAAGAAAUAGGUAAUUUAGAUAUGAUUCUGAGUAUCUUUU
rnacentral:lncRNA from 1 species